GGCGUGCUUAACACAUGCAAGUCACGGGGGCCCAGCAAUGGGCAACCGGCGAACGGGCGCGUAACACGUGAGCAACCUACCGAAAUGAGGGGGAUAGCCGGCCCAACGGCCGGGUAAUACCGCAUACGCUCGAGACCAGGCAUUUGGACUCGAGGAAACCUCCGGGGCAUUUCGAGGGGCUCGCGGCCUAUCAGCUAGUUGGUGAGGUAACGGCUCACCAAGGCUACGAUCAGUAUCCGGCCUGAGAGGGCGGACGGACACACUGGGACUGAGACACGGCCCAGACUCCUACGGGAGGCAGCAGUGGGGAAUUGUUCGCAAUGGGCGCAAGCCUGACGACGCAACGCCGCGUGGAGGAUGAAGAUUUUCGGAUCGUAAACUCCUGUCGAGUGGGAAGAACAGCUUCUGGGCGAAUAUCCCGGAAGCCUGACGGUACCACUAAAGGAAGCCCCGGCUAACUCCGUGCCAGCAGCCGCGGUAAUACGGGGGGGGCAAGCGUUGUUCGGAAUUACUGGGCGUAAAGGGCUCGUAGGCGGCCAACUAAGUCGGACGUGAAAUCCCCAGGCUCAACCUGGGAACUGCGUCUGAUACUGGAUGGCUUGAAUUCGGGAGAGGGAUGCAGAAUUCCAGGUGUAGCGGUGAAAUGCGUAGAUAUCUGGAGGAAUACCGGUGGCGAAGGCGGCAUCCUGGACCGACAUUGACG
rnacentral:rRNA from 1 species